CCCUUAGAUGUUCUGGGCAGCACGCGCGCUACAAUGGUCUUCGCAAACGGAUGCAUUCUCGAAGGAGAAUGCCAAUCUUGGAAUCUAUGCCUUGGUCGGGACAGUUGCUUGCAAUUUUUCGACUCGAACCAGGAAUUCCUUGUAAUCGUGAUUCAUCACAUCACGAUGAAUACGUCCCUGCCCUUUGUACACACCGCCCGUCGCUACUACCGAUUGAACGGCUCAGUGAGGCCCUCGGACUGGCUCGGGGAGGCUGGAAACGGCCACCCCAGGCCGGGAAGUCGGACGAACUCGGUCGUUUAGAGGAAGUAAAAGUCGUAACA
rnacentral:rRNA from 1 species